rnacentral:rRNA from 1 species
AUUGAACGCUGGCUGCAGGCCUAACACACGCAAGUCGAGCGGAGCGGCGGACGGGUGAUGCAUGCCUAGGAAUCUGCCUGGUCGUGGGGGAUAACGUCCGGAAACGGGCGCUAAUACCGCAUCUCAUCAGAUUAGCCUAGGUAGGAUUAGCUAGUUGGUGGGCUAAAGGCCUACCAAGGCUACGAUCCGUAACUGGUCUGAGAGGAUGAUCAGUCACACUGGGACUGAGACACGGUCCAGACUCCUACGGGAGGCAGCAGUGGUGUAUAUUGGACAAGGGGCGAAAGCCUGACACAGCGAUGCCGCGUGUGUGAAGAAGGUAAUCGGAUUGUAAAGCACUUUAAGUUGGGAGGCGUUACCAACAGAAUAAGCCCCGGCUAACUUCGUGCCAGCAGCCGCGGUAAUAC